CAGCGCCACGAGUGGGAACUAUAAUUAUUGGGCCUAAAGCGUCCGUAGCCUGUUUAAUAAAUUUCUUGUGAAAUUGUUAAGCUUAACUUAACAACGUGCAGGAAAGACUGUUAAACUUGGGACUGGGAGGGGUUAGAAGUAUCUUUGGGGUAGCGGUAAAAUGUUAUAAUCCUAAAGAGACUACCAAUGGCGAAGGCAUCUAACCAGAACAGGUCCGACGGUGAGGGACGAAAGCUAGGGGAGCGAACCGGAUUAGAUACCCGCGUAGUCC
rnacentral:rRNA from 1 species